GCCUGCAAAACAUCACAACACAUUGACGUGAAACAUCGGAAUUUUUCUUGGCCUUACCCCAGACAAUAUACAGGUUGUAUAUUUAUCACGAUAUUUCUUGAAUAAGUAGCUUGGCCGCUCAGAAUGGUCAACCGUCCAUAGGCCAGUCGUGAUGGACACCAUAGUGUCAGGCCUAUACUUCGCUACGAAUACGAUGAGCUUGUCUCGCUCAGAGGAAGUGCUUUGAACAAGGCUGGAUUUCAAUCUGGAUCUACCACAGGAAUGUGUGCUGGGCAACUCUUAGGGCGGAAGAUCAAACUAUGACAAUAAACACAGAACAGAGGUCAAUAUAUGGCUUGUCGCCAUGAGAGAAGCUCGUCGCUGUCUGCAGGAUCGUAGCUAUUGCAGAGGCUCGUCGCCGUUUGUGGGGUUUGUCGCCGUCGGCAAUGCUUGGUGCCGAUAGAGGCUGGUUGCAAUUGAGAGGCUUGUCGCCACCCUGAGAGGCUUGUCGCCACCCUGAGAGGCUUGUCGCCGUUGCCAUGCUUGGUGCCGACAGAGAGGCUGGUCGCCGUCUGCCAUGCUUGGUGCCGACAGAGAGGCUUGUCGCCGUCUGCCAUGCUUGGUGCCGACAGAGAGGCUUGUCGCCGUCUGCCAUGCUUGGUGACGACUGAGAAGCUGGUCGCCAUCGGCCAUGCUUGGUGUCAAAAGAGGCUUGUCGCCAGUUGAGAAGCUUGUCUCCGUCGACCAUGCUUUGUGACGUUUAAGGCUUGUCGCCGUCUGCUAGGCUUAGCGCCACAUGAGAGGUUCGUUGCCAGUUAUAUAGGUUUGUCAGUGUCUCUGAGAGGCUUGUCGCCUGCUUCCUUUCAGGCUAGUACAUAUAUACACCCUUCUUUCACGCAAUAAACCGCGGUGGUGCACAGCAUAGCCAUCCAA